rnacentral:rRNA from 1 species
UUUAGAGUUUGAUUCCCUGGCUCAGGACGAACGCUGGCGGCGUGCCUAAUACAUGCAAGUCGAGCGGACAGAAGGGAGCUUGCUCCCGGAUGUUAGCGGCGGACGGGUGAGUAACACGUGGGUAACCUGCCUGUAAGACUGGGAUAACUCCGGGAAACCGGAGCUAAUACCGGAUAGUUCCUUGAACCGCAUGGUUCAAGGAUGAAAGACGGUUUCGGCUGUCACUUACAGAUGGACCCGCGGCGCAUUAGCUAGUUGGUGAGGUAACGGCUCACCAAGGCGACGAUGCGUAGCCGACCUGAGAGGGUGAUCGGCCACACUGGGACUGAGACACGGCCCAGACUCCUACGGGAGGCAGCAGUAGGGAAUCUUCCGCAAUGGACGAAAGUCUGACGGAGCAACGCCGCGUGAGUGAUGAAGGUUUUCGGAUCGUAAAGCUCUGUUGUUAGGGAAGAACAAGUGCAAGAGUAACUGCUUGCACCUUGACGGUACCUAACCA